GGGUUCUUAGCUCAGUUGGUUCAGAGCAUCUGGU
rnacentral:sRNA from 1 species